rfam:Burkholderia glumae BGR1 chromosome 1, complete sequence.
CAGUCUCUCAGGUUCUAGCACGGCCCUCGGAAUGGCUAGAACUUUUUUAGCGCCACGGUCCCCCGUGGCGCUUUUUUUU